AGCUCCAAUAGCGUAUAUUAAAGUUGUUGCAGUUAAAAAGCUCGUAGUUGGAUUUGGGACUGGAGUCGUUCGGUCGGCCGCAAGGUCUGUUACUGAACGGCUCUGUCAUCACAUUCCCAGAGACCUGCCGUGUACUUAACUGUGCGCGGUACGGGAUUUGGGACGUUUACUUUGAAAAAAUUAGAGUGUUCAAAGCGAGCGAUUGCCAUGAAUACAUUAGCAUGGAAUAAUAGAAUAGGACCUGAUCCUGUUUUGUUGGUUUGUCGGUAUUAGGUAAUGAUUAAGAGGGACGGUCGGGGGCAUUUGUAUUCCAGGGUUAGAGGUGAAAUUCUUGGAUCCUUGGAAGACAAACAGCUGCGAAAGCGUCUGCCAAGGACGUUUUCAUUGAUCAAGAACGAAA
rnacentral:rRNA from 1 species